rnacentral:rRNA from 1 species
GACGAACGCUGGCGGCGUGCUUAACACAUGCAAGUCGUACGGUAAGGCCCUUUCGGGGGUACACGAGUGGCGAACGGGUGAGUAACACGUGAGUAACCUGCCCACAACUUUGGGAUAACGCUAGGAAACUGGUGCUAAUACUGGAUAUGUGCUCCUGCUGCAUGGUGGGGGUUGGAAAGCUCCGGCGGUUGUGGAUGGACUCGCGGCCUAUCCGCUUGUUGGUGGGGUAGUGGCCUACCAAGGCGGCGACGGGUAGCCGGCCUGAGAGGGUGACCGGCCACAUUGGGACUGAGAUACGGCCCCGACUCCUACGGGAGGCAGCAGGGGGGAAUAUUGCACAAUUGGCGCAAGCCUGAUGCAGCAACGCCGCGUGCGGGAUGACCGGCUUCGGGUUGGAAACCGCUUUCAGCAGGGACGAAGCUUUGUGUGACGGUACCUGCAGAAGAAGCACCGGCUAACUACGUG